rnacentral:rRNA from 1 species
AUUGAACGCUGGCGGCAUGCCUUACACAUGCAAGCCGAACGGCAGCACGGGAGCAAUCCUGGUGGCGAGUGGCGAACGGGUGAGUAAUGUAUCGGAACGUGCCCAGUCGUGGGGGAUAACGUAGCGAAAGCUACGCUAAUACCGCAUACGAUCUAUGGAUGAAAGCGGGGGAUCGCAAGACCUCGCGCGAUUGGAGCGGCCGAUAUCAGAUUAGGUAGUUGGUGGGGUAAAGGCCCACCAAGCCUGCGAUCUGUAGCUGGUCUGAGAGGACAGCCAGCCACACUGGAACUGAGACACGGUCCAGACUCCUACGGGAGGCAGCAGUGGGGAAUUUUGGACAAUGGGCGCAAGCCUGAUCCAGCAAUGCCGCGUGCAGGAUGAAGGCCUUCGGGUUGUAAACUGCUUUUGUACGGAACGAAACGGCUUUUUCUAAUACAGAGAGCUAAUGACGGUACCGUAAGAAUAAGCACCGGCUAACUACGUGCCAGCAGCCGCCGCCG